UUUUUUUCUUGCCCACUAGCAUUUUAUUGAGAAAAGCAAAGCGACGACUUUGACUUGCUUCAUGCCGUUGGAUAUCAAUUAUUAGUUUCUUAAGUCUCUUUUUCUUUUCUCAUUAUUCUUCUGCAAAAUGAUUUUCAGAUAACAUAACUGGAUUCAGUUAAGCAGUCGUUUGUUUUCAUUCAACUUCAGUUCAGCUUGACUGGACAUAAGCUUUGCCUCUGUUUUAGUUGCAAAACCAAAGUAGCCAUGGCUGAAUCUGUGGUGUCUUUUCUUGUGGAAAGGCUCGGAGAGCUAUUAAUUGAGGAGGCUGCACAGUUAUUGGGGGUUAACAAAAAAGUCAAGCAGUUGCAAAUUGAACUAAAGCGGAUGCAGUGCUUCCUCAAAGAUGCAGACAAAAGACUAGAUGAAGAAGAAAGUGUUAAAAACUGGGUUUCAGAGAUAAGGGAGGCUGCUUAUGAUGUUGAAGAUGUGAUUGACAAUUAUAUUGUUAAAUUUGCAUCCAAGAAAGGUGGGACAAUCAGAAACUCGAUUAUCCACAGAAAGGAACUUCAUAAUCUUGCAUCAGAGAUUGAAAAAAUCAAAUCUAGAAUCACUGACCUGACCAGAAGUUUGCAGACCUAUGGAAUAACAGCAAGAAAAGAAGGCGAAGGGUCUAGAAUUUUAUCAGAGAGGCAAAGGCAGCUGAGAUGGUCUUAUUCCCAUAUUGUGGAAGAGCAUAUUGUUGGGUUUGAAGAAAACAUAAAGGAACUGAUGGUGAAGUUAAUUCAUGAAGAAGAACGUUGCCGUGUUGUGUCUAUCUGUGGGAUGGGAGGUCUUGGGAAGACCACCCUAGCAAAGACCUUAUACCAUCAUGCAGAUAUUAGGAGACACUUUGAGGCUUUUGCUUGGGCUUAUAUUUCUCAACAAUGCAGACCAAGAGAUGUUUGGGAAGGAAUUCUGCUGAAAUUGAUCAACCCAUCAAAGGAGGAGAAGGAAGAAAUUUUGAGAAUGAGGGAUGAGGAAUUAGCAAAGAAGCUUUACAAAGUUCAGCAAGAGAAGAAAUGUUUGAUUGUGAUUGAUGAUAUUUGGACCAGUGAGGCGUGGGAGACUUUAUUCCCUGCUUUCCCUGAUGAAACAACUGUUGGUAGCAAAAUAUUGCUCACAACCCGCAAUAGGAAAGUAGCUUCGCAUGCUGAUCAGAAUGGAUUCCUUCAUGAACCAGAGUGUUUAAAUGAAGAACAGAGUUGGGAGCUAUUCCAAUUGAAAGCAUUUCCAAGGAAAGACAAAUCAGGCUUUGUAGUUGAAAAAGAUAUGGAGAAUUUAGGGAGGGAAAUGGUGGGAAGUUGUGCAGGUCUACCGCUGGCAAUCAUUGUGCUUGGUGGACUUUUGGCAACGAAAGAAACAGUGAAUGAGUGGGAUAAGGUGCACAGAAAUAUCAAGUUACACUUGGCAAGAUCAAAAGAGAGUGGACGACAAGCUAAACUAUCUGAGGUAUUGGCUUUAAGUUACCAUGAAUUACCUUACCAACUGAAACCAUGCUUCUUGCAUUUGAGCCAGUUUCCAGAAGAUUUUGAAAUACCAACCAAGAAAUUAGUUCGGCAAUGGGUUGCAGAAGGCUUUAUAUCCUCACAGAAUGAAGUAGAAGUAGAUGAAAGGCAUGAAACCGUGGAGGAAGUUGCACAGGGCUACUUACAUGACAUGAUAAAUAGGUCGAUGGUUCAAGUGGGAGUGAAGGGUUCAACAGGAACCAUAAAAACUUGUCGCCUGCAUGACCUUAUGCGUGAUUUAUGCUUGUCAAAGGCCAAACAAGAAAAUUUUAUGCAUAUUAUUGGUUCUCUCCCAUCUUCUACGUAUUCUAGACCAACACCUGUAAGCAAGAUCCGUAGAUGUGCUAUCCAUUUGGAUCAAAACAACCAAGAUCCUGGUUUGCCAGAAUACCAGAAAAACCCUAACCUUAGGUCCUUAUUCUUUUUCCGUCCAAAAAAACAUAGAAUACAUAAUGAGCGCCUUUUGAAAUCUGUGUUUGACAAAUUCAAAUUGCUUAAAGUGUUGGAUCUUGAAGGAAUUAAAGGACUUGAGGAGAAAUUACCUGAAGAUAUAGGAUUUCUUGUUCAGAUGAGAUUUUUAAGUCUGAAGAAAACACGUAUAAGAGAAUUGCCGACAUCUUUGGUCAAUCUGGUUGGCUUGCAGACUCUGAACUUGCAAACAAUUGAUAAAGUGUCAUGGGAAUCAACUGUACAAGUGCCUAAUAUUUUAUGGAAGAUGGCGCAGUUGAGACAUCUAUAUCUUCCUAAGUGGUGCGGGGAUGUUACAGGUAAUUUACAGUUGGCCUGUCUGAGCAAUUUGCAGACUCUUGUAAAUUUUCCUGCUAAUAAAUGUAAUGUUAGGGAUCUCCUCCUAUUAACCAACCUCCGAAAACUUGUUCUAAAUGACCCUAGACACUUUGAAUCAUUUGUCCAAAUCUUUGAAUCUCCAAAUAAGAUAUUGCCAUACCUGACGUCCCUGUCCUUAAAAACUGACCUCCUUUCCUUUCCGGAUACAGUAGUUGAUUUAAGGAAACUACUAUUAGGCUGUCCACGUCUUUGCAAGCUGCAUGUAGAAGGAAGAAUAAAGAACUUACCCCGAGAUAAUGAAUUCCCUUCAUCUCUCACCAAGUUAACUUUAUGGGGAUCUAGACUUGUUGAAGAUCCAAUGGAAGCGCUUGGGAAGCUGCCUCACUUAAAGUACUUAAGUGGAUGGGAAUUAUUCAUGGGAAAGAAAAUGACUUGCUCUAGGAACAGUUUCCCCCAACUAAAAACGUUACUUCUUCGUGGGUUGUCCAAUUUUGAGGAGUGGAAGAUUGAAGAAGGAGCUAUGCCUACUCUUAGUCGUUUGGGUAUUUCUGAUUGCUACAAGCUGAAGAUGGUUCCAGAUGGACUGAGGCUUGUCACUACCCUCCGGGAAGUAGAGAUUAGGUGGAUGUCAAGAGCAUUCAAAAGUAGUAUUGAGGAAGAUGGGGAAGAUUUCUACAAAGUCCAACAUGUGCCUUCCAUUGUAUUUUUGAACUGAGACAAAAUUAUGGUGAGUGACGCUAUACUAUUGAUGUUAAUUUGUUCAAUUGUUAUAAUGUUGAUUUAAUUUGCAUAUUGGCUAUUAAUGUCAUACUCAAGACCACCUCUAACUGCAUUGUUCUAGCUUUAUUCCAGGCUUGGUGGCAUAUUUUUACCAGUUGCCUUACAAAUAAAUUUUUGAAGUCAAACUCCAAACAAUAUAAAACUUCUAACAGACUGCAUGGAAGACUGUUAUAUAGACACUGAUGCUUUGAAAAGUAAAAGGAGCAAGAUGACUCAGAGUUCUAUGGGUGUUUCUUUGCAAGAUUUGUCAUUUAAGAUUACCUAGUUCUCUUGCUUAUAUUGUUAAGACUUCUCUUGAUUUAAAUGCUUGUUGGUGUUGCCUCAACUAUUGGAUAAGGUGCAUAUUUGUCAUAGUUACUAGGUUGAUACAGCAACUAAAUAUCUUGUAUUAAGCACAUACUAAUGCAAUUUAUCAGAUUCCUAAGAUAGCUGGAUAGAGAA